UUUCAGAGUCUGGGGAGACCACAGGAGGGCCAUGACCUGCUUCAGAAGGAGGUGACCUGUACAUGGGAGGAAGUGAGGACCCAAUAGUCAACAAAAAUUGUAUUCUUGCCUGGAGAAUCCUGUGGACAGAGGAGCCUGGCCAUGGAGUCUCACAGAGUCAGACAUAACUCAGUGACUGAAGAGCAACACAACAGAAGCCUGGCUGUUAAAUGCUAGACUUGAUGUUCAGCUGCCUGUGAAAAAGGGGAACAGAAGAAGGGAGAAUGAAGCAGGAAAGGAGGAAACGAUGACCUGAGAGUGCCUCAGUGAGUGGAUCCCCUCUGGAGAACUAGAGCUUCGUGCUGGGAUGGAUGCUGGGAAGUCACGCAGAGCGCGCCUAAGAACUGUUACUUGAAAGAGAAGAAAGCAAUGUGUGUGCUGAUUCCUGUUCUUGUAGGAGAA